rnacentral:rRNA from 1 species
GUGGGGAAUAUUGCACAAUGGGCGAAAGCCUGAUGCAGCGACGCCGCGUGAGGGAUGACGGCCUUCGGGUUGUAAACCUCUUUCAGUAGGGAAGAAGCGAAAGUGACGGUACCUGCAGAAGAAGCGCCGGCUAACUACGUGCCAGCAGCCGCGGUAAUACGUAGGGCGCAAGCGUUGUCCGGAAUUAUUGGGCGUAAAGAGCUUGUAGGUGGCUUGUCGCGUCUGCCGUGAAAACCCGAGGCUCAACCUCGGGCGUGCGGUGGGUACGGGCAGGCUAGAGUGUGGUAGGGGAGACUGGAAUUCCUGGUGUAGCGGUGAAAUGCGCAGAUAUCAGGAGGAACACCGAUGGCGAAGGCAGGUCUCUGGGCUGUUACUGACGCUGAGGAGCGAAAGCAUGGGGAGCGAACAGGAUUAGAAACCCGUGUAGUCC